AGUGAACGCUGGCGGUAGGCCUAACACAUGCAAGUCGAACGGCAGCACAGUAAGAGCUUGCUCUUACGGGUGGCGAGUGGCGGACGGGUGAGGAAUACAUCGGAAUCUACUUUUUCGUGGGGGAUAACGUAGGGAAACUUACGCUAAUACCGCAUACGACCUACGGGUGAAAGCAGGGGAUCUUCGGACCUUGCGCGAUUGAAUGAGCCGAUGUCGGAUUAGCUAGUUGGCGGGGUAAAGGCCCACCAAGGCGACGAUCCGUAGCUGGUCUGAGAGGAUGAUCAGCCACACUGGAACUGAGACACGGUCCAGACUCCUACGGGAGGCAGCAGUGGGGAAUAUUGGACAAUGGGCGAAAGCCUGAUCCAGCCAUACCGCGUGGGUGAAGAAGGCCUUCGGGUUGUAAAACCCUUUUGUUGGGAAAGAAAAGCAGCAGGUUAAUACCCCGCUGUUCUGACGGUACCCAAAGAAUAAGCACCGGCUAACUUCGUG
rnacentral:rRNA from 1 species